AACGAACGCUGGCGGCAUGCCUAACACAUGCAAGUCGAACGAGACCUUCGGGUCUAGUUGCGCACGGGUGCGUAACGCGUGGGAACCUGCCCUUAGGUUCGGAAUAACUCCCCGUAAGGGGUGCUAAUACCGGAUAAUGUCUUCUGACCAACGAUUUAUCGCCUUUGUAUGGUCCCGCGUUGGAUUCGCUUGUUGGUAGGGUAAAAGCCUAACAAGGCGACGAUCCAUAGCUGGUAUGAGAGGAUGAUCAGCCACACUGGGACUGAGACACGGAACAGACUAGUACGGGAGGAAGGAGAGGGGAAUAUUGGAAAAGGGGGGAAAGGAUGAUUAAGCAAUGACGGGAGAGAGAUGAAGGAAUUAGGGAAGUAAAGCGGAGUUAACCGGGAAGAUAAUGAAAGUACCGGGAGAAUAAGCACCGGCUAACUACGUG
rnacentral:rRNA from 1 species